rnacentral:rRNA from 1 species
AUUGAACGCUGGCGGCAGGCUUAACACAUGCAAGUCGAACGAGUGGCGGACGGGUGAGUAAUGCUUGGGAAUCUAGCUUAUGGAGGGGGAUAACUACGGGAAACUGUAGCUAAUACCGCGUACCAUAGGAUGAGCCCAAGUGGGAUUAGGUAGUUGGUGAGGUAAAGGCUCACCAAGGCGACGAUCUCUAGCUGGUCUGAGAGGAUGACCAGCCACACUGGUACGUAGAAACGGCCCAGACUCCUACGGGAGGCAGCAGUGGGGAAUAUUGCGCAAUGGGGGAAACCUGACGCAGCCAUGCCGCGUGAAUGAAGAAGGCCUUCGGGUUGUAAAGUACUUUCGGUAGCGAGGCGUUAACUACAGAAGAAGCACCGGCUAACUCCGUGCCAGCCGCCGCGGUAAUAC